UACGUAGGGUGCGAGCGUUAAUCGGAAUUACUGGGCGUAAAGCGUGCGCAGGCGGUUUUGUAAGCCAGAUGUGAAAGCCCACGGCUCAACCGUGGAGGGUCAUUGGAAACUGGGGAACUUGAGUGCAGAAGAGGAAAGUGGAAUUCCAAGUGUAGCGGUGAAAUGCGUAGAGAUCGAGAGGAACACUAGUGGCGAAGGCUGGGCUCUGGACAAUAUCUGACGCUGAGGCACGAAGGUCAGGGGAGCAAACGGG
rnacentral:rRNA from 1 species